GACGAACCGUGCGAACGUUGUUCGGAAUCAUUGGGUUUAAAGGGUCCGUAGGCGGAUCUGUAAGUCAGUGGUGAAAUCUCACAGCUUAACUGUGAAACUGCCAUUGAUACUGCAGGUCUUGAGUGUUAUUGAAGUAGCUGGAAUAAGUAGUGUAGCGGUGAAAUGCAUAGAUAUUACUUAGAACACCAAUUGCGAAGGCAGGUUACUAAGCAACAACUGACGCUGAUGGACGAAAGCGUGGGGAGCGAACAGG
rnacentral:rRNA from 1 species